CCUACGGGAGGCAGCAGUGGGGAAUUUUGGACAAUGGGCGCAAGCCUGAUCCAGCCAUGCCGCGUGAGUGAAGAAGGCCUUCGGGUUGUAAAGCUCUUUCGGCCGGGAAAAAAUCGCACGGGUCAAUACCCUGUGUGGAUGAUGGUACCGGACUAAGAAGCACCGGCUAACUACGUGCCAGCAGCCGCGGUAAU
rnacentral:rRNA from 1 species